rnacentral:lncRNA from 1 species
UUGCAUCCACAGCAGGGGUUGGUUGAGAAGGUUUGGAAUCUUGAGUGAAGAGGAGAUUCCAAGGAGAGGCAGUUGAUCUCUCUAUCUUGAGAGAGCAAAGGUGAUGGUAUGAUCAGAGAUUGGCUCCUGAGCUAUUCAAAAUCCCUCAUUGAACGUAAUUUGCCAUUUCCCCCCAAAGAUACCAGGAAGUGUGGCAGAAACCUGAGAAGAAUAAGAAACAGCAUAACAAGAUUUCACACAGCUCCUGUGACACCCUGGGUCUGGACAUUGGCACUGCUGUGACAAAGACCGGGGGUCACAAACCUGAACCUCUCAAAGACCAGAUUUGUAUCCAAGUGUAUUGCUACUAGAAGAAAAGGAAUGGCACAUCCCAAGCGGACAAACACAGUCACAUGGCCUCAGUCAUCUACUUCAAUCUAUACAUGAAAGGAAUACCAACUAGACUCUACCAAACAGUGGAUCAUGGCCAGAUAUGAAGAGGAAAUGGAUCUCGUUUUUGAAAUUGAAGAGGAAAGUGAAGAAAUGCACCAAAGCAGAGCCUUAUCUCUCUACUGCCCUCCAUUUUUUCAAGUUAAAACUAAUGAUGUUGAGGUCUGUGACUGCAGAUGUGGGCAAAAAGCAGGAUGCUGCCAGGAAGUAAGUCAAGUAAAGAGAAGCAAGAUAUUCUGGAUAAGACUAUCUUUAAUUUUGUCAAAAUUUGACCAACUGGUCAACCAAAGAGAAUCAGCACAAAAUGGCUACAUAUGCUCCAAAGUCUAUGGGACUAUUGCAAUAGCUAAAUAUCCUGUGAAGCCUCAAGAAUACUGGUCUCUUCACCAUUAUAUCAAUAUAAUACAACCUGUGGAAUUUUGAAUACCAGAUUUUGGAUGCCAACUCUCUCAAUUUAUCCAAAACUAUGCCUUUUCAUAAUAUUCUUACCACUACUGAUAGAUAAUAAUAUAUUCUGCUCUCCAGAUGUGUAUAUGUAACCUCCCUAUAGAUAUAGAAAAAUAGUCUCAGAAUAAAGAACAAAAACACUGAAUACUUAUCUAUUAA